rnacentral:rRNA from 1 species
AUGAUCUCCGCCAUGUCCUGGGUGCCGAGGGGCGCCGCCAAGAGCGUCCCCAUCGAGGCGGAGCCGCCCACCAAGGAGGAGAUCGAGGAGGCCAUGAAGAAAAUCGCCCUCGGCAGAGAGGCCGGGAGCGACGCCGACGACGCCGACGGGGACGAGGACGACGACGCCGUGAUGGAGGUCGACGGCGCCGAGGACGAGGAGGUCGACGAGGUCGCCCAGGCCAAGGCCGCCGCCAAGGCGCUCGGGACCAAGAGCAGCUCGGCCGCCGCCGUCGGCGACGUUUCCGACGGGCUCGCCGAGCUCAACAUGGACGCCUACGACGAGGAGGAGGACGGGCUCGAGCUUUUCAGCACUGGGUUGGGGGACUUGUACUACAAGAGCAACGAAGAGGACCCCUAUAUCAUCAAGAAUGACGACGAUGAUGAUGGCGAGGACGACGAUGAGGAGAUUGAGGACAUGACUAUCAAACCUACUGAUAUAGUGAUUGUUUGUGCUCAUAACGAGGAUGAAUUCAAUUCUCUCCAGGUCAGUAUAGUGGAAGAACUGGAGGAUGGGGAUCCUAAUAUGUUUGUGCACCAUGAGGUCCCUCUCUCUGAUUUUCCACUCUGCACGGCUUGGAUGGAUUUUAACCGUCAGGAUGGCGAACAGAAAGGAAAUUUCAUAGCUGUUGGCACCAUGGAUCCUACAAUUGAAAUAUGGAACCUGGAUGUCGUCGACGAGGUCGAACCACAUUAUGUGCUAGGAGGAGUUUCAAAAAAGAAGAAGAAAGUUAAGGGGAAAAAGGGAAAAACAUAUAAGAAGGGUAGCCAUAGAAGUUCUGUGCUUGGUCUUGCGUGGAACACGGUGGUGAGGAACGCUCUAGCUAGUGCAAGUGCAGACAAAACUGUGAAAGUUUGGGACUUAAGUGCUGGUAAAUGUUUAGUCACACUGCAACAUCAUGAUGACAAGGUUCAAUCAGUUGCCUGGAGGUCACCUGAAGUUCUUCUCAGUGGAUCUUUUGAUAGAACAAUUGCCAUGACAGAUAUGAAAGACAGUGGACAAUGUUGCCAUAAAUGGCCUGUGGAAGCAGAUGUAGAGAGCUUAGUUUGUGAUCCACACAAUGAACAGUCGUUUGUGGUUAGUCUUGAAAAUGGGAUGGUUCAAGCGUUUGAUAUUCGGACAGCUUCAUCAAAUUCAAAUCCUGGACAGCCGAUUUUUACUCUGCAUGCACACGAAAAGGCCGUUUCUUCCAUAUCCUUCGCGCCUUCUACCCCUAACUUUCUUGCGACUGGUUCAACCGACAAAAUGGUGAAGCUCUGGGAUCUAUCGAACAACCAGCCUUCGUGCGUCUCGUCGCUGAAUCCUAAGCUUGGAGCUAUAUUCUCGGUGUCGUUUUCGAUCGACAACCCCUUCCUGUUAGCGUGUGGAGGAUCGAAAGGCAAACUGAAGGUCUGGAACACGCUGUCGGAACCCGCAGUGGCGAACAAAUUUGGGAAGGGGCGGCAAAAUGCACCAGCUCUGCGAAACGACCCCCCCGCAGAAUGA